rnacentral:rRNA from 1 species
UAAUACGAAGGGUGCAAGCGUUACUCGGAAUUACUGGGCGUAAAGCGUGCGUAGGCGGUUUGUUAAGUCUGAUGUGAAAGCCCUGGGCUCAACCUGGGAAUGGCAUUGGAUACUGGCAACCUAGAAUGUGGUAGAGGGUGGCGGAAUUCCCGGUGUAGCAGUGAAAUGCGUAGAUAUCGGGAGGAACAUCCGUGGCGAAGGCGGCCACCUGGACCAACAUUGACGCUGAGGCACGAAAGCGUGGGGAGCAAACAGGAUUAGAUACCCUGGUAGUCCACGCCCUAAACGAUGCGAACUGGAUGUUGGGUUCAAUUGAGAACUCAGUAUCGAAGCUAACGCGUUAAGUUCGCCGCCUGGGAAGUACGGUCGCAAGACUG